GGAAAACAUUGUCUUUACUGUUCACGAGUGUCAUUUUAAUACUAUGCAGCUUUGAAUAAUGUUAGUUGCAUAGUAAUAAAAGUGAUCAUGCGUUUACAAGAA
rnacentral:pre_miRNA from 1 species